rfam:Atta cephalotes unplaced genomic scaffold scaffold00028, whole genome shotgun sequence.
UCCGGUAUGGUUUAGUGGCUAGGAUACCUGGCUCUCACCCAGGAGGCUCGGGUUCGAUUCCCGGUACCGGAA